rnacentral:lncRNA from 1 species
GCAAGACAGUCUCUUAAAAAAUAAAAAUAAAAAAGGAUCAGACUCUCAGUUAAUCUCUCCUAGAUCCAGGAAAGGACUAGAAAGGGAAAGCCUGGCAACAAAUGGAAAUUUCCCCCACAAAAGACUGAUUUGCAGGGCCUCAUCGGUCUCCGGGCCCUGAGGCAGCCAUUUCAAAAUAGGGCAAAGAAAUAUCUUUUGGGGUAAAAUAUUUUUAUUUCCUUCACUUUACUUUCCUCAAGAGACUGCUUUAAAGGUUAAAUGCAGUAAUAUAUUCUAGGGCCUUGGACAGUGCCCCAGAAAACACAUUAGGUACACAAAAAAUAUUUAUUGAACCUGAUUUUAUCUCUGAAUCUUAGUUUGGAGUGGCUCUUGUGGGAGACUAAAAUAUGCCACCCCGAAGUAUACUUUGUCAUAUUUCAAGAUGGCUAUUCAGAGAAACUGCAGAAAUAGGAAUAGCUCUGAAAAGCUCUUUUUUGUAAAAGAAUUGUAUACCUAUCAAGGAAAUCUACAUUAGUAAACAGUGGAUGCAAGUACUGGCUUUCUCUGAGGCUCCCUUUCCUGCCUAAAGAGGAAUCUAAGACUGACUCAAAGGAGAGAAAACUACUUUGUCACAGGCUGUCAGCUAUUCUGCGAUUACCUGAGAGACUUUAUCUACAUAACAAGAAAACCUUUGCCUUUCCUCCCCUGGUGCCUUUGCCCUUCCUCCUUCACCCUCCUACAACAUGUGUCACCACCUCCUCCAAACCCCCAGAAGUCUCAAGACCUUUUUUCUUUCUGUAGUCUCAGAAUGGCAUAAAAACGUCAAUUAUUUGGCCCUUCUGAGAGAGAAAUAAUAUAGGGUGGUCACAAGAGAAUAGAAGAUUCCAUGCAGUAGUUUCACAUGACUAGCAAAAAGGAAACUGUUGAAAUAGCUGCACAAACUAGGAGCCAAAGAGACCCUGAAAACCGAAAUGUUUGCCAAGCUGGCUAAGUCCUACUUGACCCAACAUGGCACUGGAUUUGACCUAGCUUUCACCUGGGACCUUAUUAUACACUUAUUAACAUACAAAUCAGACAUCCACCAACACCAUGACAGUUCCGAGAACACCCAUAUUUCAUGGAAAAAUGGAUGGCACCACAGUUCUGAGAAAUUGUCACCCUUUUCCAGAAAUCUUCAUGGAUAUUCCACCCCUUGGUUAAGGAAACCCAUAAAGUUAGAAGCCCCAAUCACUCCUGGGCAAGACUGACUCUCUUGAGUAAGCCUGCACUUCCCUUCCUUGAGCAUGUAUUUUUCACUUUGCAAUAAACCUCUGUACUUUUUCUGACUUGUCCUUGGAUUCUUUCUGGCAGCAGUGGCAAAGGCCUGGACACUGGCUGGGAUCAACAUCCUAAUGGCAUUUGGGUACCUCCCCUAGCCCACCGGUAUCAUUUCUUGGAGUACUGUAUUUUGUGAGGCUCCUGUGCAUAUGCAGGUCAAGAUAUAAGCAAACGUCAAAAACAAGAGCUGAACUCAAGACCCCAUCAACCUUACUGUUGCCACUCAAUUCAUACUGUAAAAGAAAAGGGCUGGGCGCGGUGGCUCACGCUUGUGAGCCCAGCACUUCGGGAGGCAGAGGCAGGCAGAUCACGAGGUCAAGAGAUGGAGGCCACCCUGGCCAACAUGGUGAAACCCCGUCUCUACUAAAAAUACAAAAAAUUAGCUGCGCAUGGUGGCGCGCGCCUGUAUACUCGGGCUGAGGCAGGAGAAUCGCUUGAACCAGAGGGGUGGAGGUUGCAGUGAGUCGAGACUGUGCCAUUGCACUCUAGCCUAGUGACAGUGAGACUCCAUCUCAAAAAUAAAAAAUAAAUAAA